GCGUUAUCAAAAUUAAGAAAAUAAUAAAUCAGGACACCAACAACAGAUUCUAUAAAUUGUUUGGCAAGAUAACUCCUGCCUACAUGACAAUGAAAUGAAACUCCCAAUUUUCUUUCCAAUAAAGAAGACUCUUUUAACAUGCAAUGUGUUCGACUGCCACUUCUCGAAUCAAAACAUGAACAGCAAUAAUCAUUUUUUGUUCACUUGAAAUACAUCAGGAAAAUGAGGUUUAUGCUUAAUAUAUUCACGGAAUCAAUGAUAAAAUGAAUACUAAUGGUGUAAAACUACUAUUACAACCAAGACUCUGAAAACAAGGACCCAUGUUGCACACAACUAUACCUUCACCAGCACUUUAGCCCACCCAUUCAGUGAUUCAAGUAAGAAGGCCAUACUCAUGCAAACAAUAAACCUUUGUGAACGCCUUUCAUAUCACAUCAUCAUAUAGUAUUUUUUGGUCUAGGUAAUGUGGCCAUUUCAAGUCAACAGCUAUGGAGUUGUAGAAUAACUGGGCUGUCUAGCACCACUUUUAACAACAACAAUGGACAGGAGGUGCUGCGAUGGAGACUCGGACUGUACUCUACCCAACAUAUUUGCCACCUAUAGUGUGAUCUGCCCAUGCCAUUUAUAGGUCCCUGUAAAUUUUGUAAACCAAAUGAAUAAACCUAAUCAAAGGAUAUUAUUUUCUCAUUCAUUAAAUGUUAAAGGCCAAUGAGAACAAUUAAAUUGUAUUACAGAGCUUCGAAAUUUAUAGGUAAUAAUAUCAUCAAUCUAGGUUGAUCACUCUAAUUUAAGGUGACUUUACGCAAAUACUCAUUCUUUUAAGUGACACAUACCUUCAGCUAAAGUUGAAUCCACCAGAUGGAACUGAGGGAUCAUUUCCACCAAACUGAAAUCCUUGCUGGGAACCAUCACCUGAAGGUAAAGUCUCAUCAUCUUCCUCUAACCAGUAAGUCUCAAGAAUCUUCACGGCCUUCUCAUAAAUCUCAUUAUUGUCAUGACUCUGUAGAUUUUCAAUCUUUUCUAAUCCCUCAGCAUCAUCUAUCAUCUGGGCAUACAUAUUAUAAUCUCCACUGUUCCCUAAAUUCUUUUCGGCUUCCCCAACCUUCAGAAUGUUCUCUAAUCCUUCAAGACAUACAGUGACAAUCCUUGGAUCAGGACAGACAAGGAGAUCACACAAUGGUUUUAUGCACCCUUGACUCACCAAGUACUUGAUUUGGUCAUGAGUACCACCAGAAGUAGCGUUUGAAAUUGCCCAUGCAGCUUCUUUCUUUAUAUCAAACUCAGCAUUUUGAACCAAAUUAACCAGGGGGCCAAUUAAACCAGCCUCAAUUACAGCCUGAAUUUGUUCGCUGUUUCCAGCUGUAAUAUUUGAGAUGGUCCAGCAAGCUUCUUUCUUAAUAAUCUUUUUAUGAUUAUGAGUCAAUAGGCUUACAAGAUAUGGCAGUGCACCAUUGUUUAUUAUACACUGAGAACAAGAAAUUCAUCAUAGUUAGCCAUCAAACAUGUGAAGAGCAAAAUUGUAAGUAGAGUUGCUAAGGAAUAAAACGCACCCACACACACACACCCACACCCACACCCACAGACAGAGAACUUAAAACUCAAUUUGUCCAGAGAGUUAGAUUUGAUCAGACGGUUAUUUUGACUGAUAGUAAUACAAUAUAAAAUAAUCACACAAAAUAAUAUACCACUUAGUUAAGGAAUAUACUCCACCAGGGAAUAUUCCCUAGAAAAUGCUAUUAUAUAAUCUUAUAAUUCUUAUCCAUUAAAGCUACUUCAUUUUCGUUUUGUUCAAAAUUGCUGAACUUCACACUUUCAAUACCAUAAGCAAAUAUUGUGAAACGGAAUGUGGCAUAAAAAUAAAAAUCAUGCUGAGGAAAAAAAAUGCAAUAUUUUGCCAAAAAAUGCAAUAUUUUGCCAAAAAAUGAAAUGGAAGAAAAAGCCAAUGAGAUGUAAUAACAAAUGAAAUGGUAAGAGACUGAGUUCAAGCCACCACAUCUUAUACAGGAGACAAUCCUUGAAUGCAAGUUUUUAUUUCUAGUUGGGUCAAGUCUCACGAAUUGGCCUUUUUUGCCAUUUCGAGUUGAUGAGCUUCUAUUGUUUAUUACCUUUCCCAAAUAUACAACACUUGUGGAGCGUAGGUAAUAUUCAAGGUGAAAGUAAAUUGUAUCAUAAGCACCUAGAUUUCUCAACUUUCAAAAGCAAACCACUGUAAUAUUCAGAACCGUAACUCCUUCAUGCAUCCUUGUUUUGAUUUCCGCGACAUGAUAAUUUUUCAAUAAUGCCUCCAAAACUGAUGCAUAAGCCAUGCUAGUAUCAUUUAAGGGACAUAAGAACCAUAAACAUUUUGUUCAAAAAUAAUUUAACAAAUUUUUAUUAGAAAAAUAGAGCAGAUGAAUGCGAUUGUAUUUCUAUUGAAAUUUCAUACCUGAGUCUGGAUAUCAUCCCCAGUCACAAUAUUUCCAACAGUGCGAAGGGCAGGAACAAGCACUGAAGGAGAUGGAUGGAGGAGGAGCUCAAUAAGUCGGGGACAGACACCUGCCUCAAUCACAGCUUGGAUUUUGUCAUUUGUACCAUCAGAAAGAUAAGAAAGUGCCCAACAGGCAUCAGUUAAAACUUCUUCAUCAGUUGAAUGUACAAGACGUUCAAGUGCUGGAAGUGCGGGCCUCACCUGUUCAAAUGGAGGCUGUGGCUUGCCCCUGCAGAAGUUUGAUAGUGUCCACGUGGCAUUCCUCAGCAUUGAGAGCUUUGCAUGCUCAUUCAGCUGAGCCAACAGUGGAAGCAGUGCUCCACGGCUGAGAACAAGAUCGCGACAUUUUGGGGAGUCACCAGCUAUAUUUCCCAAUGCCCACACAGCCUGCUCUCGCACAUCAUCACUGGGAGAAGCAAGAAGCUUUACAAAUAUUGGAACUGCACCAUGAUCAAUUACCACCCUAGUGUUCUCUGAGGUUCCAGAGGCAAUGUUUGUGAGGGCCCAAGCAGCCUCAAACUGAAGUUGAGGAAAAUCCUCCCUCACAAGAAACUCAACAAAUCGAGGAACAACCCCAGAUUGUAUAACUUCCUCAAUUGGAGGACUUCGUUCUGAGAUUAGUAAUUUUAGAAAUUUAGUCACAGCAAAUCAAGGCAUUAAGAAGCACAAUACAUACGCAUAAAUACCAAUUGAAAGCAGUUUCCGAAACUGUGCGGUGGCAUCCAGCUGCAAGCUGCCAUCAUCGGACCAAACGCCAGCGACCAUUGAAGGCAAACUUUCUAACUUCUUUUCCAUAGUAGAAGAAAAGACAGUGGGAUGUAACUGCUGAGCCUGUAGACCUUCGCGGCGCUUCUUCUGCAAACUCUCUUCGCGCUUGCUCUUUCGGAUCUCCACCAUGUUGUCCUCUCUC
rnacentral:misc_RNA from 1 species